GGCUCGAUGGCGGAUGGUCCGCGUCUGCUUUCGCUGCACACGUUCUCCCGGUCUAUAGCAGCAGGUCUGCCCGGUUCGAUUCUGGGUUGAGUCU